rnacentral:tRNA from 1 species
AGCUCUGUAGUGAAGUUCAUGUCAGGUUGCAAACCUGAAGACGCGGCUUAAGACCCGCCGGGGCUU